GGGAGAGUGAGAGGCGUGCAUGGCUUACCGAAAGGGUGUGCGGCAAAUCUGGGUGGUUGAGCUGUGGUGGAGGAUGAAGGCCAACACUUUCUGAGCUCUCUAGUGGUGUUUCGACUUCCCUAUGGUGAUCUCUGCAACCAUGUACUCUAGAUGAUUUCUGAAAGGAGGCUACGAUGGUUUUACUGAGGGAGUAGUUUUUGUGUUUUUGAUUGUGUAUAACUCUUGGGCUAUGGUUUUCCUUGUGGCUGGGUGUGAAAAAAAAAAACAGUUCUUUUGGAGGCAGUCGGCCCACACGAACAGUGUGCAGUUGGCUGACUGACGUGGCAGCAGUUAUAUUAAAGAAAGAAAAGAAAAGGGAGAGAAGAAGAAGUAGAAGAGGAAAGAGGAAGUGCGGGAAAGAGAAAUUGAAACGUGGGUUUUGGCACAGACGAAAUACCGAAGCAUUCGUGUGGCCUGAGACUUGUUCUUCAGAUAGAGAUUCAAAGCUUGUUCACAUUGUGCUUUAGCUUCAUGUGUUUCUGUGUGGUCAUCUUCUUCGUGUGUUCUUCACAUUGUGCUUUGAAACUAAGUGGAGAAAACUGGAUCUGGAAGUCGUCUUUGUCUUCGGCGUCGUUUGUUUUCAGACUGGGUCGAUCUGUCCUUGUCAAAACAGUUGGUGCAAACUAGUUUACAGAGGUGUAGGAAGAGCUGCAUAUUAAGGUGGCUGAAUAUCUGAACCCUACUGUUAAAUGUGAAUGUUUCUCUGAGGAAGAAGAUGAUCUAAUCAUCAGACUCCAUAAUCUUCUGGAGAACAGGCUUUGGAUUUUUGAUUGCUGGAGAAAUCAAGAAAGGCAUCCAUUGAGCACCUUGAGAAAUUACAUUUCAUCUCUCAAGGAGGCAGCCUUUUGUUUCAACUUGCGAAUCUAUCUGAAUCAUACCUCAACUGUUGUAACUAGAAUGGAAUUUAGGUGAAGUCUUGUAUUACAUUGGAAAAUGAUCAGAUCUACUAUUCAUAUGUAAUGGGUUCUCUGAUACUGCUUAUUUAUAAUCGUACAUGGAGAUCAUGUAACUACUACCUCAAGUGGAUCUUCAACUAAUGACAAUGGGGUUGAGCCAAUUGUAAUGGUGUUAAGCCUUUUUGUAAUGAUGAUGCUUCAGCAGACUCAGCAUCUGUUUAGUUUUAUGGAUGUGAUGAAUGUGGAUGUGUUAUUUCUGUAAGCUACCUGAUGCAUUUGGUAAAUAAGUUCAUGAUCGUUUUUCAGUGCACAA